CUGACUGCUAUCGGAUUGAUACUAAGCCAUGCGAGUCAUUGUAGCAAUACAAGGCAUACGGCUCAGUAACGCGUAGUCAACCUAACCUAUGGACGGGAAUAACCUCGGGAAACUGAGAAUAAUGCCCGAUAGAACAUUAUGCCUGGAAUGGUUUAUGUUCCAAAUGAUUUAUCGCCGUAGGAUGGGACUGCGGCCUAUCAGUUUGUUGGUGAGGUAAUGGCCCACCAAGACUAUUACAGGUACGGGCUCUGAGAGGAGUAGCCCGGAGAUGGGUACUGAGACACGGACCCAGGCCCUAUGGGGCGCAGCAGGCGAGAAAACUUUGCAACGUGCGAAAGCACGACAAGGUUAAUCCGAGUGGUUUCUGCUAAAGAAACCUUUUGUCAGUCCUAGAAACACUGAUGAAUAAGGGGUGGGCAAGUCUGGUGUCAGCCGCCGCGGUAAAACCAGCACCUCAAGUGGUCAGGAUGAUUAUUGGGCCUAAAGCAUCCGUAGCCGGCUCUGUAAGUUUUCGGUUAAAUCUGUACGCUCAACGUACAGGCUGCCGGGAAUACUGCAGAGCUAGGGAGUGGGAGAGGUAGACGGUACUCGGUAGGAAGGGGUAAAAUCCUUUGAUCUACUGAUGACCACCUGUGGCGAAGGCGGUCUACCAGAACACGUCCGACGGUGAGGGAUGAAAGCUGGGGGAGCAAACCGGAUUAGAUACCCGGGUAGUCCCAGCUGUAAACUAUGCAAACUCAGUGAUGCAUUGGCUUGUGGCCAAUGCAGUGCUGCAGGGAAGCCGUUAAGUUUGCCGCCUGGGAAGUACGUACGCAGGUAUGAAACUUAAAGGAAUUGGCGGGGGAGCACCACAAGGGGUGAAGCUCGG
rnacentral:rRNA from 1 species